GACGCUGGCGGCAUGCCUAACACAUGCAAGUCGAACGAUGAUUUCCAGCUUGCUGGAAUGAUUAGUGGCGGACGGGUGAGUAAUAUAUAGGGAUCUGCCUGUUAGUGGGGGACAACAUGUGGAAACGCAUGCUAAUACCGCAUACGCUCUACGGAGGAAAGUGGGGGACCUUUCGGGGCCUCAUGCUAUUAGAUGAACCUAUAUCGGAUUAGCUUGUUGGUAAGGUAAUGGCUUACCAAGGCGACGAUCCGUAGCUGGUUUGAGAGAAUGAUCAGCCACACUGGGACUGAGACACGGCCCAGACUCCUACGGGAGGCAGCAGUGGGGAAUAUUGCACAAUGGACGCAAGUCUGAUGCAGCAAUGCCGCGUGUGUGAAGAAGGCCUUCGGGUUGUAAAGCACUUUCAGAUGUGAGGAAAAGCGAUUUAUUAAUACUAGAUUGCCGUGACGUUAACAUCAGAAGAAGGACCGGCUAACUCCGUGCCAGCAGCCGCGGUAAUACGGAGGGUCCAAGCGUUAAUCGGAAUUCUGGGCGUAAAGCGCGCGUAGGCGGAUAAUUAAGUCAGAUGUG
rnacentral:rRNA from 1 species